rnacentral:ncRNA from 1 species
UUAUCAAGGGGUGCUCGCCAGUGGCGGGCUGAGAACAGACCCUUCAGACCUGAUGCGGAUAAUGCCGUCGUAGGGAUGAUAAGA